rnacentral:rRNA from 1 species
UACGGAGGUGGCAAGCGUUGUCCGGAUUUACUGGGUGUAAAGGGCGUGUAGGCGGGGAAGCAAGUCAGAUGUGAAAUCCCAGGGCUUAACUCUGGAGCUGCAUCUGAAACUGUUUUUCUUGAGUGCUGGAGAGGAAAGUGGAAUUCCCAGUGUAGCGGUGAAAUGCGUAGAGAUUGGGAGGAACACCAGUGGCGAAGGCGGCUUUCUGGACAGUAACUGACGCUGAGGCGCGAAAGCGUGGGGAGCAAACAGG